AUUGAACGCUGGCGGCAGGCCUAACACAUGCAAGUCGAACGGUAACAGGAAGCAGCUUGCUGCUUUGCUGACGAGUGGCGGACGGGUGAGUAAUGUCUGGGAAACUGCCUGAUGGAGGGGGAUAACUACUGGAAACGGUAGCUAAUACCGCAUAACGUCGCAAGACCAAAGAGGGGGACCUUCGGGCCUCUUGCCAUCGGAUGUGCCCAGAUGGGAUUAGCUAGUAGGUGGGGUAACGGCUCACCUAGGCGACGAUCCCUAGCUGGUCUGAGAGGAUGACCAGCCACACUGGAACUGAGACACGGUCCAGACUCCUACGGGAGGCAGCAGUGGGGAAUAUUGCACAAUGGGCGGAAGCCUGAUGCAGCAACGCCGCGUGCGGGAUGACGGCCUUCGGGUUGUAAACCGCUUUCGCCUGUGACGAAGCGUGAGUGACGGUAAUGGGUAAAGAAGCACCGGCUAACUACGUG
rnacentral:rRNA from 1 species